GUUCGUUGUCUGGCACGCUCGCUCUUCUCCGGGUCUGUCUGUUUAUCACUUCAUCUAAGCUCUGAUAAAGUGAUGGGCACAGAGGGAGAGCUAGAAGUAAAAAGUGGUGCUGCUCUAAUUAAGGCAGUGACACCACAUCUUUGUAAAUGGUGAGAGUUUUUCAUCUGUUUCCUGCUCUUUCUUCUCCGUGGACACUCCUCCUGGAAACCUUGACAUUGUAUUCUCUACAGAAAUCAACUUGUCUUGUUGGUGUAAUCAAGGAAGCUUUUCAUUCCAACAGAAAGGUAUAAGAAAGGAAGUGAGAGGAGGAAAAAGGAGCGUGUGUCCCACGGGGAGAAGAGUCAACACACCACAGAGUCUAUUCAUAACCACACAAAGUGAUGAAAAUGGACAGCCACUUAUCCACAACAUGGAGGGAGGAAGAGGAGGAGG